rnacentral:rRNA from 1 species
GACAGAGGGUGCAACCGUUGUUCGGAAUUACUGGGCGUAAAGCGCGUGUAGGCGGUCUGCUAAGUCGGGUGUGAAAGCCCCGGGCUCAACCCGGGAAGUGCACUCGAAACUGGCAGGCUAGAGUAUCGGAGAGGUUGGUGGAAUUCUCGGUGUAGAGGUGAAAUUCGUAGAUAUCGAGAGGAACACCGGUGGCGAAGGCGGCCAACUGGACGAAUACUGACGCUGAGACUCGAAAGCGUGGGGAGCAAACAGG